rnacentral:rRNA from 1 species
AUCCGUCUCUACACAUCAAUCGGACAAAAAAAAAAAAAAGAAAAUUCAGGCGGGCGGGCUCCUUUUCGAUUGCGGAAGGGUGAGUAAGCCGUGGGUAACCUGCCCCAUGCCCAUGGAUUACCAUUCUGAAAAGUUUUACUAAAUCAUGAUAAUAUAUAUUUUGUGGCAUCGCAGAUAUUAUCAAAAGUGUUAGCCGGUAUAGGAUGGACCCGCGUCUGAUUAGCUUGUUUGGUGAAGAUUAACUGCCCCACCAAAGGCGACGAUCAAGUAGCCGGCCUGAGAGGGGUGAUCGGCCCACAUUGGGAACUGAGACACGGUCCAAAACUCCUACGGGAGGCAGCAGUGGGGAAUAUUGCACAAUGGGCGAAAGCCUGAUGCAGCAACGCCGCGUGAACGAUGAAGGUCUUCGGGAUCGUAAAGUUCUGUUGCAGGGGGAAGAUAAAUGACGGUACCCCUGUGAGGGAAGCCCCGGGCUAACUACGUGCCAGCAGCCCGCGGUAAAUACGUAGGGGGGCUAGCGUUAUCCCGGAUUUUACUGGGCGUAAAGGGUGCGUAGGGUGGUCCUUCAAAGUCGGGUGGUUAAAGGCUACGGGCUCAACCGUAGUAAGCCGCCGAAACUGGAGGACUUGAGUGCAGGAGAGGAAAGUGGAAUUCCCAGUGUAGCGGUGAAAUGCGUAGAUAUUGGGAGGAACACCAGUAGCGAAGGCGGCUUUCUGGACUGCAACUGACACUGAGGCACGAAAGCGUGGGUAGCAAACAGG